rnacentral:rRNA from 1 species
GAUGAACGCUGGCGGCGUGCCUAAUACAUGCAAGUCGAGCGAACGGACGAGAAGCUUGCUUCUCUGAUGUUAGCGGCGGACGGGUGAGUAACACGUGGAUAACCUACCUAUAAGACUGGGAUAACUUCGGGAAACCGUAGCUAAUACCGGAUAAUAUUUUGAACCGCAUGGUUCAAAAGUGAUAGACGGUCUUGCUGUCACUUAUAGAUGGAUCCGCGCUGCAUUAGCUAGUUGGUAAGGUAACGGCCUACCAAGGCAACGAUGCAUAGCCGACCUGAGAGGGUGAUCAGCCACACUGGAACUGAGACACGGUCCAGACUCCUACGGGAGGCAGCAGUAGGGAAUAUUCCGCAAUGGGCGAAAGCCUGACGGAGCCACGCCGCGUGAGUGAUGAAGGUCUUCGGAUCGUAAAACUCUGUUAUUAGGGAAGAACAUAUGUGUAAGUAACUGUGCACAUCUUGACGGUACCUAAUCAGAAAGCCACGGCUAACUACGUG